CCAAUAGCGUAUAUUAAAGUUGUUGCAGUUAAAAAGCUCGUAGUUGAAUUUCGGGAUCAAUUCGUCGGUCGUGCUUUUUGGUACGUACUGGCGUUAUUGGUUUCUCCCUUCUGACGAGCCAUGAUGUCAUUAAUUUGGUGUUAUGGGGAGUUAGGACUGUUACUUUGAAAAAAUUAGGGUGUUUAAAGCAGGCAUUAGCUUGAAUACAUUAGCAUGGAAUAAUGAAAUAGGACGUUCGAUCCUAUUUUGUUGGUUUCUAGGAUCAACGUAAUGAUUAAUAGGGAUAGUUGGGGGCAUUAGUAUUCAAUUGUCAGAGGUGAAAUUCUUGGAUUUAUUGAAGACUAACUACUGCGAAAGCAUUUGCCAAGGAUGUUUUCAUUAAUCAAGAACGAAAGUUAGGGGAUCGAAGACGAUCAGAUACCGUCGUAGUCUUAACCAUAGACUAUGCCGACUAGGGAUCGGACGAAGUUAAUUUUUAAAUGACUCGUUCGGCACCUUACG
rnacentral:rRNA from 1 species